rnacentral:piRNA from 1 species
UGAGAUAACUUCCAGUUCUCACUGGGUCCC